UACGAAGGGGGCUAGCGUUGCUCGGAAUUACUGGGCGUAAAGCGCACGUAGGCGGCUUGUUAAGUCAGGGGUGAAAUCCUGGAGCUCAACUCCAGAACUGCCUUUGAUACUGGCGAGCUUGAGUUCGGGAGAGGUGAGUGGAACUGCGAGUGUAGAGGUGAAAUUCGUAGAUAUUCGCAAGAACACCAGUGGCGAAGGCGGCUCACUGGCCCGAUACUGACGCUGAUGCGCGAAAGCGUGGGGAGCAAACGGGG
rnacentral:rRNA from 1 species